rnacentral:lncRNA from 1 species
CCAAAAAUCUACAUAAAAAAAAGUAAUCACCUUCGAAUCCCACUUUGAGCCAGCUUAUGAACAAGCAAAAGACAAUUGUUAAAUGACCAAAGAACUUCAGAGAUCAUUUUUCCCAAAUCAACCACAUGAAAGAAAUUAAAUGAGAUACAAACCGUUACCAACAAUUGGCUUUAUACUAGCACUCCGUAUUGGCUUCAAAAAUUGAUCGCUUUUCCCCAAUAAACUUGGUAAUAAGACAUAACUCAUAAUCAAUAUCUACAACUACAUUGUUAAGACCCUCUGGCCCAACAACUAAUUCCACGUCUUCCUUCUCUUCCAUUGAAAGAUUCUCCAUCUCUCUCUCCACUGCAAACGAAAGAAACAGAUAGCAUGAAAGAAAACAAAAGCAAACAAGACCUUUGACUAUGCACUUAGGGCAGAAAAGCUAGAGGCAGGACGGCGCACAUUACUAUUAAGGUAUCUGACGUUACUUGAAUUUGAAAAAAUAUGUUGGAUAUAACAGUAAGUAUUUUAUAUAAAUAUAUGAAAAAUACAGAUAUAUAUAAAAGAAUCAAAGUAAUGUAACUGAGAGAUGCCAUUGCCAAUAUUGGUUCGGCAUAUUUUUCAAAAAGUAGGGAAUAACUAAUAAUACCAUCAGCAGUAUUACAUAUGUAGAGCUAAC